UACGUAGGGUGCAAGCGUUGUCCGGAAUUAUUGGGCGUAAAGAGCUCGUAGGCGGUCUGUCACGUCGGAUGUGAAAAUCCAGGGCUCAACCCUGGACCUGCAUUCGAUACGGGCAGACUAGAAUUCGGUAGGGGAGACUGGAAUUCCUGGUGUAGCGGUGAAAUGCGCAGAUAUCAGGAGGAACACCGAUGGCGAAGGCAGGUCUCUGGGCCACUACUGACGCUGAGAAGCGAAAGCAUGGGGAGCGAACAGG
rnacentral:rRNA from 1 species